GUGAGGCUCAGGAACAAGUAAAUAGUAAAUCCACAGGCAAGGUUUCCAGCAGGUAAAAUACAGCAAUAUCCCAACAGCAAUCCCAAUAACUGGACGACACACAGUUUCAGGAGCAUAACUGAAAGCUUUUAAUCCACAGUCUCCUUAUAAAGCAUGCUCCCAUGCAAGGGAGGGAUUUACAAUCAUUAAUACAGUAGCCAAUCCUGUCCUGGUAACCUCCCACACAUCUCCUCCCCUCAGCCAGCAUCAUAAUCCCCU